GCUUCAGUGGUGCAUAGGCUAAAAUUGGAACAAUAAAAGACCAGCAUGGCCUCUAAGCAAAGAUAACAUGUAGAUUACUGUGAGGCAUUUCAAAGUUUG
rnacentral:snRNA from 1 species